UAAUUUUAUUAAGACCCUUUUACCACUUGGCCCAUACACUGGAUCAAAUUAAAUGAGUAAUUAGCAUAACCUCAGUAAUAUAUUCUGGCAAAAUGUGUAGGGGAAAAGAAACCGUCGGCUUCAGAUUUGAUUUCGAGUGGGAGCAUACGUGGAGCAAUUUGAGUCCGAAUUUGAUGUGUCUUGAAGUUGUGGUGAGUUGCUUGGUUGUUCCGUGGCCCACACCUUCCUCUAUCUUUUGUUUAUUUUGUCAUUUAGUAUUCAGACAGGGUAUCCCUUAUGUUUGAUUUGUCAUUUUAGUUUCAGACUUGCAUCAUAUUUUAAAAGCUCUUGUACUUAUGACACCAAUUCAUGGGGUGAUAUUUUUAGCUUGUUGCAGUUCAUACUUAUAAAGAGAUUUAUAUUGGAGAUUUUCA